rnacentral:misc_RNA from 1 species
UGUGGGAGCGAGCUUGCUCGCGAUGACGGUGUAUCAGACGCUGAUGCAGUGACUGAUAAGUCCCAAUCGCGAGCAAGCUCGCUCCCACA